GAUUAGUGGCGAACGGGUGAGUAACACGUGAGUAACCUGCCCUUAACUCUGGGAUAAGCCUGGGAAACUGGGUCUAAUACCGGAUAUGACUCCUCAUCGCAUGGUGGGGGGUGGAAAGCUUUAUUGUGGUUUUGGAUGGACUCGCGGCCUAUCAGCUUGUUGGUGAGGUAAUGGCUCACCAAGGCGACGACGGGUAGCCGGCCUGAGAGGGUGACCGGCCACACUGGGACUGAGACACGGCCCAGACUCCUACGGGAGGCAGCAGUGGGGAAUAUUGCACAAUGGGCGAAAGCCUGAUGCAGCGACGCCGCGUGAGGGAUGACGGCCUUCGGGUUGUAAACCUCUUUCAGUAGGGAAGAAGCGAAAGUGACGGUACCUGCAGAAGAAGCGCCGGCUAACUACGUGCCAGCAGCCGCGGUAAUACGUAGGGCGCAAGCGUUAUCCGGAAUUAUUGGGCGUAAAGAGCUCGUAGGCGGUUUGUCGCGUCUGCCGUGAAAGUCCGGGGCUCAACUCCGGAUCUGCGGUGGGUACGGGCAGACUAGAGUGAUGUAGGGGAGACUGGAAUUCCUGGUGUAGCGGUGAAAUGCGCAGAUAUCAGGAGGAACACCGAUGGCGAAGGCAGGUCUCUGGGCAUUAACUGACGCUGAGGAGCGAAAGCAUGGGGAGCGAACAGGAUUAGAUACCCUGGUAGUCCAUGCCGUAAACGUUGGGCACUAGGUGUGGGGGACAUUCCACGUUUUCCGCGCCGUAGCUAACGCAUUAAGUGCCCCGCCUGGGGAGUACGGCCGCAAGGCUAAAACUCAAAGGAAUUGACGGGGGCCCGCACAAGCGGCGGAGCAUGCGGAUUAAUUCGAUGCAACGCGAAGAACCUUACCAAGGCUUGACAUGAACCGGAAAUACCUGGAAACAGGUGCCCCGCUUGCGGUCGGUUUACAGGUGGUGCAUGGUUGUCGUCAGCUCGUGUCGUGAGAUGUUGGGUUAAGUCCCGCAACGAGCGCAACCCUCGUUCUAUGUUGCCAGCGCGUUAUGGCGGGGACUCAUAGGAGACUGCCGGGGUCAACUCGGAGGAAGGUGGGGACGACGUCAAAUCAUCAUGCCCCUUAUGUCUUGGGCUUCACGCAUGCUACAAUGGCCGGUACAAAGGGUUGCGAUACUGUGAGGUGGAGCUAAUCCCAAAAAGCCGGUCUCAGUUCGGAUUGGGGUCUGCAACUCGACCCCAUGAAGUCGGAGUCGCUAGUAAUCGCAGAUCAGCAACGCUGCGGUGAAUACGUUCCCGGGCCUUGUACACACCGCCCGUCAAGUCACGAAAGUUGGUAACACCCGAAGCC
rnacentral:rRNA from 2 species